UACGUAGGCAGCAAGCGUUGUUCGGAAUUACUGGGCGUAAAGAGUGUGUAGGCGGUGCUCUAAGUUCGGUGUGAAAUCUCCCGGCUCAACUGGGAGGGUGCGCCGAAAACUGGGGUGCUGGAGCGCGGGAGAGGAAAGCGGAAUUCCUGGUGUAGCGGUGAAAUGCGUAGAUAUCAGGAGGAACACCGGCGGUGUAGACGGCUUUCUGGACCGUAGCUGACGCUGAGACACGAAAGCGUGGGGAGCGAACAGG
rnacentral:rRNA from 1 species